rnacentral:rRNA from 1 species
CCUACGGGAGGCUGCAGUGGGGGAUAUUGCACAAUGGGGGAAACCCUGAUGCAGCGACGCCGCGUGAGUGAAGAAGUAUUUCGGUAUGUAAAGCUCUAUCAGCAGGGAAGAAAAUGACAGUACCUGACCAAGAAGCCCCGGCUAACUACGUGCCAGCAGCCGCGGUAAUACGUAGGGGGCAAGCGUUAUCCGGAUUUACUGGGUGGAAAGGGAGCGUAGACGGCUGUGCAAGUCUGAAGUGAAAGCCCGUGGCACAACCGCGGAACUGCUUUGGAAACUGUAUAGCUUGAGUACUGGAGAGGCAGGCGGAAUUCCUAGUGUAGCGGUGAAAUGCGGAGAUAUUAGGAGGAACACCAGUGGCGAAGGCGGCCUGCUGGACAGAAACUGACGUUGAGGCUCGAAAGCGUGGGGAGCAAACAGGAUUAGAUACCCUUGUAGUC